CGGAAGGUCCGGGCGUUAUCCGGAUUUAUUGGGUUUAAAGGGAGCGUAGGCCGGAGAUUAAGCGUGUUGUGAAAUGUAGAUGCUCAACGUCUGCACUGCAGCGCGAACUGGUUUCCUUGAGUACGCACAAAGUGGGCGGAAUUCGUGGUGUAGCGGUGAAAUGCUUAGAUAUCACGAAGAACUCCGAUUGCGAAGGCAGCUCACUGGAGCGCAACUGACGCUGAAGCUCGAAAGUGCGGGUAUCGA
rnacentral:rRNA from 1 species